rnacentral:rRNA from 1 species
AACGCUAGCUACAGGCUUAACACAUGCAAGUCGAGGGGCAGCGGAUUGGUUGGCUUGCCAACCAAUGCCGGCGACCGGCGCACGGGUGAGUAACGCGUAUCCAACCUACCGUUUACUACUGGAUAGCCUUCUGAAAAGGAGAUUAAUACAGUAUGGUGUUCUAGAAUCACAUGGUAAUAGAACUAAAGAUUUAUCGGUAAACGAUGGGGAUGCGUUCCAUUAGAUAGUAGGCGGGGUAACGGCCCACCUAGUCUUCGAUGGAUAGGGGUUCUGAGAGGAAGGUCCCCCACAUUGGAACUGAGACACGGUCCAAACUCCUACGGGAGGCAGCAGUGAGGAAUAUUGGUCAAUGGACGAGAGUCUGAACCAGCCAAGUAGCGUGAAGGAUGACUGCCCUAUGGGUUGUAAACUUCUUUUAUAAAGGAAUAAAGUUAACUACGUGUAGUUAUUUGUAUGUACUUUAUGAAUAAGGAUCGGCUAACUCCGUGCCAGCAGCCGCGGUAAUACGGAGGAUCCGAGCGUUAUCCGGAUUUAUUGGGUUUAAAGGGAGCGUAGAUGGAUUUUUAAGUCAGUUGUGAAAGUUUGCGGCUCAACCGUAAAAUUGCAGUUGAUACUGGAAGUCUUGAGUACAGAUGAGGUAGGCGGAAUUCGUGGUGUAGCGGUGAAAUGCUUAGAUAUCACGAAGAACUCCGAUUG